UACAGAGGGUGCGAGCGUUAAUCGGAAUUACUGGGCGUAAAGCGCGCGUAGGCGGCUCUGCAAGUCGGGUGUGAAAUCCCCAGGCUUAACCUGGGAACUGCAUUCGAGACUGCAUUGCUAGAGUAUGGGAGAGGGAAGUGGAAUUUCCGGUGUAGCGGUGAAAUGCGUAGAUAUCGGGAGGAACACCAGUGGCGAAGGCGGCUUCCUGGCCUGUUCUUGACGCUGAGGCGCGAAAGCUAGGGGAGCAAACGGG
rnacentral:rRNA from 1 species